CCUGUGGCAGAAAGAGAUCCCAGCACACACUGGAAAAUGUUCUCAUCUGUGCUGCAUUGUAGAUGAGGGUGCUGGGAAGGCUUCUCCAUCAGCUUGGAUGAAUAAAGUUUUGAAGCCCUUGGAGCCUCCUGCAGAUGUGUCUAGAGGGAAGACUUCUCCAGCUUCUCCAGCUGCUACCUUGGAUGCUGCACUCAAGCCCAGCUCCCAUCUCAGGGGUACUCCAACAGGGAAAAUCCAAGAUACAACAGAUAAGAUAUCCCUGGAACCAUCCAAACAGAUGAGGCAAGAGCUGAAGGAACCCCUGCAGACAAGAGAAGAGAUGGACAUAGUGCUUCAGUGGAAGGUGGUAUUUCUUGAAGGAAGCACUCCAUCUUCAGUGCGAGCCCCUGCUGCAGGAAGGAAGGCGAUGGCAGACACGGGC